ACAAAGAACCCCUAAAUCCCAACCCUAAAUCUCUCUCAACUCUAAGUCUUCUGCCGCCCUCCCCUCCCCCAUUCGGCCUCUCCGUCACUGGUCUGGUACAGCCUUGCGCCUCUUCUCUCCCUCUCUUUCUCUCUCGUUCUCUAAACAAAUGCCAAGCGUAAUCGCUAAACUUUAUAGCGUUUUCUUCAAAUAUCAACAAAAAAGCCUUCUGCAGAGCUUAUCACAGCUUCCUUUCAGCGAUAAAGCUGACCCUUUUGGCUUAACUUCUCGGCCCCAUGAAUCUAUCGCCUCCAGCAACCCUUUAUUUACUGACGGUGUCGCUACCAAGGACAUCCACGUCGACCCCUUUUCUUCCCUUUCUCUCCGGAUCUUCCUCCCUGAAACCGCUCUCGCUUCCCCAUUAGCUACUAGUCGAGAUUACGAUGUACCCACUUAUGGAGGAUAUUCUCCACCGACGAGUAAGUUCAACAGGAAGUUGCCUGUAAUGUUGCAGUUUCACGGAGGUGGGUUUGUAAGUGGGAGCAAUGAUUCGGUGGCAAACGAUACUUUUUGCAGGAGGAUAGCCAAAUUGUGCGACGUAAUUGUUGUUGCUGUUGGGUAUAGAUUGGCACCAGAGAGUAGAUACCCAGCUGCGUUUGAAGAUGGCCUCACAGUUUUGAAUUGGCUGGCCAAACAGGCGAAUUUGGCUUCUUGUAGGAGAUCCUUCCAGCUGUCUGCCGCUGCUCAAGCUGUAGGGGAAGUAAAUCUGGAGAAAAAAUUUGCAGCAGCGAGUGAAAGCCUGCGCCGAGGGAGAUUGAUUUUGUGAAUGAGAUGGUGCGGACUCUUGCUGGGAAUGGAACCAAAGGUUCUGACUAUAAAGGUGGAGGAAAAGGAACGACUCAGCUUCUCAACUCUCCAUGGGAUGUCUGCUAUGAGCCAGUCAAUGAAAAAGUCUAUAUUGCAAUGGCUGGACAGCAUCAGAUAUGGGAGCACAAUACUCUAGAUGGAGUUACUAUAGCUUUCAGUGGUGAUGGUUAUGAAAGAAACUUAAAUGGAUCAAGCUCCACUAGCACGUCAUUUGCACAACCUUCUGGAAUUUCACUAUCUCCUGGUAACAUUUUGGAUUAUUUUGACAAACAGUGUAACUUUCUUUGAAAUUUGCAAAUCAUUGUGGAAUGUGGACUGCCCCAGUUUAUUUCCAGAAGUAAGCUGUUACAUUCUUUAUUAUAAAGGUCAUGUUCACUUAUGCCUUUUGAAAAGGAAAGAGAGGGGGGCGGUGGAUGUUCGUUCUAGGGAAGGACAAUAUUAGAAUCAAUUUGCUUUCUUUUCUCAUGUUACCAACUUCAUCAUUUAGUUGAUACAUGCUAUCCUUUGGAGCUUUAUCAUGUUUUGAGUAACCCUUUAUUUCCUUUUUUAUUUAAGUUUUCUAGAUUCAGUAUAGCGUGUAUAGCUUUCUCUUCACUUGAGAUUCUAUUUGAAAGAAGAGAACUUUUCGUUUUUUAGUGAAAUUGGGAAUUUAUUCUAAAUUGAAAGCAGCUGAAGUUUUCUUUAAAUUUUAUCUUUCACUUUUUAUCUGUGUGUAUUUCUUUUCUUUAAAUUUAUAGAUACUGAAGACCUUGUUUGAGAUUGUGUUGUUUGAGGAUUGUGGCAACCAGUGGAGUCUCAAUAGACCUAUGUUGAGCUUAAUUCUUAUUAGUGAGCAGCCAGUGGAUCAACCUCAGCGGCUUUCACUUUGUUUCGACAAACUGAUGGCUGAUGUCACUCGAAGCUUGGAUGCAAAGAACAGCGACAGGUUUACUCAGAAUCUGACUGUUUUCAGGCAUGAAAUCCGUGUGAAAUAGCUCGAAUGUUGCAUAUUGCUACCUGUUUAGGGAUUGCAUUUUACCUCCAGAUACUGUGUUCGAAGAAGCCCAAGUACCUUACAUUAAUUUGACCAGUAAGCUUGGAUCAUGUUUGCUGUUGGAGAGGAGCUUCUUUUGAUGCAGUAUCUAUAUUUGUUGCCAAAUCAUUAAGAAGAAGAAGGUUCCUUUUUGAAAGGAUACUGGAAGUGUAAUACACAAUGAUGAGGGGAUUACCAAAGACUUGCAGAAGCUAGUGGUGGGUUUGAUAGUAGUCUAUGUUUAGGGUAUUUAUUCUUUCUGAAACAAAGAUGUAAAUCAUUCAUGGGAUUAUGUUUUAAAGGUGGUGACAAGUAGAUUUAUUUGUACAUUAACCUCAAAUAAUUCUUUUGUAUUUGUUGAUAAUAGAAAGAAAAGGAAUGAUAUUUUAGUGUA